rnacentral:rRNA from 1 species
GUAGGUGGCAAGCGUUGUCCGGAAUUAUUGGGGCGUAAAGCGCGCGCAGGCGGUUCUUUAAGUCUGAUGUGAAAGCCCACGGGCUCAACCGUGGAGGGUCAUUGGAAACUGGAGAACUUGAGUGCAGAAGAGGAAAGCGGAAUUCCACGUGUAGCGGUGAAAUGCGUAGAGAUGUGGAGGAACACCAGUGGCGAAGGCGGCUUUCUGGUCUGUAACUGACGCUGAGGCGCGAAAGCGUGGGGAGCAAACAGGAUUAGAUACCCUGGUAGUCCACGCCGUAAACGAUGAGUGCUAAGUGUUAGGGGGUUUCCGCCCCUUAGUGCUGCAGCUAACGCAUUAAGCACUCCGCCUGGGGAGUACGGCCGCAAGGCUG